UGGAGUCAUAUGAACAGAACUGGCCUGUAUAUACCAUAUAUCAAAGAAAUCUCGGAAAUGGGAGUCCACUGCAUCGAGAACAUAGGUAUUUUGAAAGUUUGAGUAGCAUAACCCUAAGCUCCUCAUCUUAAAUCCUCCAAACCCCAAAAGUCACUUCACCUUAUGCCAUCCUAGCUCUACCUACCCUUAAUGUUAUAGGUGCCCUAAC